AUACAGAAGGAAGGCGCACGUCAUUUCCCUCAGGCGAGGAAUACGAGCGAUUUGCCGCAACCGGAGCAUCAUAAAUCUGGACACAUGGAUCUUGUUUUGGAUUUUCUGCGGUCAGGACUUUGUUCUGACACUUUUCAAUCAAAACAAAAACAGCAAAGUGAUGCGCUGGGCUUUCUCCCUGGGAAGUCACUGCCGUGGCUUUCACUUCAUGUUCAGAAAGGUUUCGUCUGCAGAGUCCCAAGAGCGCUCUGGAAAAAAAGUGGCACACAUUUUCCUGAAGACCUCCACGUUGGGUCUUCAUCGCCCAAGCUCUCCAGCUUUCUCGCUCAUUCGUCCCCUUCAUCCAGUUCCUUCAAUAAAUCUUUUCAGGUUA